rnacentral:lncRNA from 1 species
AUGUCACCUGCCCGUGGGGACAGGACCGGGGCAGCUCUGGCUCUGUGGUCCAUGGUUGCCAUAGUGAUUCCUGCACUUUUCCCAGAUUUCAGGGCGGCUUUCCCCAGUUUCAGAGCAGUUUUCUCGGAUUUCAGGGCAGUUUUCCCGAUUUUCUGUGUGGUUUUCCCUGAUUUCUGGGCGUCCCUCUGGAUGCAGGUGAGCCCUGAGCCUGCUCCCCUCCUGGGUCAGCACACCUGGGAAUUUUCCUGGAUUUCAGAGCAGUUUUCCCAGAUUUCAGAGCAGUUUUCUCGGAUUUCAGGGCAGUUUUCCCGAUUUUCUGUGUGGUUUUCCCUGAUUUCUGGGCGUCCCUCUGGAUGCAGGUGAGCCCUGAGCCUGCUCCCCUCCUGGGUCAGCACACCUGGGGCAACAGGAUGGGCUGGGGGAAGGAUUCAGAGCCAGAUCAAGAAUUGAGGAUGGUGAAUUACUCAGAUUUGAACUCAUUUUGAUUAAAACCCCUGGGGCAGCAGGACAGGCUGGGGAGAGGGAUUCAGAACCAGCUCGAGAACUGGGGGUGUUGAAUUCCAUAGAUUUUAAAUCCCUGCGUUUAAAAUCCCUGGGGCAGCAGGACUGGCUGGGGGAGGGAUCCAAAGCCAGAUCAGGAACUGAGGAUGGUGAAUUACUCAGACUUGAAAUUGUUUUGAUUAAAACCCCUGGAGGCAGCAGGAUGGGCUGGGGGAGGAUUCAGAACCAGCUUGAGAACUGGGGAUGGUGAACUGCACAGG